ACUGUAUAGAAGAGAGAAUGCCGGAAUGAGUAGCGAGAGGAAGGUGAGAAUCCUUCCGGCCGAAUAUCUAAGGUUUCCAGAGUAAAGCUGAUCUGCUCUGGGUAAGUCGGGGCCUAAGGCCAGGUCGAAAGACGUAACCGAUGGACAACAGGUUGAAAUUCCUGUACCUUAAGUAAACAGAACUGUGGGGACACGUGUGGAGAGCACAAGCCGGAAAUGGAAAAGCCGGUGCAAGCGAGGUAGGAGUACAGUAGGCAAAUCCGCUGUACAAUCCGAAGACGUGAUGCGGACCGGAUUAAGAGUAGGGAAGUGUGUGAGCCAUGCGUCAAGAAAAGCCGCUAUUGUUUUACUUAAGCCCGUACCGUAAACCGACGCAGGUGGAUGAGGAGAGAAUCCUAAGGCCGACGGGAGAAGCAUUGUUAAGGAACUCGGCAAAAUGACUCCGUAACUUCGGGAGAAGGAGUGCCAGCGAGAGCUGGCCGCAGAGAAUUGGCCCAAGCAACUGUUUAGCAAAAACACAGGUCUAUGCAAAACCGUAAGGUGAAGUAUAUGGGCUGACGCCUGCCCGGUGCUGGAAGGUUAAGAGGAGAGGUUAGCGGUAACGCGAAGCUUUGAAUUUAAGCCCCAGUAAACGGCGGCCGUAACUAUAACGGUCCUAAGGUAGCGAAAUUCCUUGUCGGGUAAGUUCCGACCCGCACGAAAGGCGUAAUGAUUUGGGCACUGUCUCAACAAUGCACCCGGUGAAAUUGAAAUACCAGUGAAGAUGCUGGUUACCUGCGCCAGGACGGAAAGACCCCAUGGAGCUUUACUCCAGCUUGAUACUGGGAUUCGGUAUUGCAUGUACAGGAUAGGUGGGAGGCUAGGAAGUGAUAACGCCAGUUGUCACGGAGCCGCUGUUGGGAUACCACCCUUGCAGUAUUGGAUUUCUAACCAGCGACCAUGAACUGGUCGGGGGACAAUGUCAGGUGGGGAGUUUGACUGGGGCGGUCGCCUCCGAAAGGGUAUCGGAGGCGCUCAAAGGUUCCCUCAGAAUGGACGGAAACCAUUCGAAGAGUGCAAAGGCAGAAGGGAGCUUGACUGCGACACCGACGGGUGGAGCAGGUACGAAAGUAGGACUUAGUGAUCCGGUGGUAUAAAGUGGGAUUGCCAUCGCUCAACGGAUAAAAGCUACCCUGGGAUAACAGGCUUAUCACUCCCAAGAGUUCACAUCGACGGAGUGGUUUGGCACCUCGAUGUCGGCUCAUCGCAUCCUGGGGCUGAAGUAGGUCCCAAGGGUUGGGCUGUUCGCCCAUUAAAGCGGUACGCGAGCUGGGUUCAGAACGUCGUGAGACAGUUCGGUCCCUAUCCGGCGUGGGCGUAGGAUAUUUGAGAGGAGCUGUCCUUAGUACGAGAGGACCGGGAUGGACUGGCCGCUGGUGUAUCUGUUGCAUACCAAAUGCAUGGCAGAGUAGCCAAGCCGGGACGGGAUAAACGCUGAAGGCAUCUAAGCGUGAAGCCCCCCUCAAGAUGAGAUAUCCCUACGUAAGUAGUAAGACCCCUUGAAGACGACGAGGUAGAUAGGUCAGAGGUGGAAGUACAGUAAUGUAUGGAGCUGACUGAUACUAAUCGGUCGAGGGCAUGACC
rnacentral:rRNA from 1 species